rnacentral:rRNA from 1 species
AUUGAACGCUGGCGGCAGGCCUAACACAUGCAAGUCGAACGAGUGGCGGACGGGUGAGUAAUGUCUGGGAAACUGCCUGAUGGAGGGGGAUAACUACUGGAAACGGUAGCUAAUACCGCAUACCAUCGGAUGUGCCCAGAUGGGAUUAGCUAGUCGGUGGGGUAACGGCUCACCUCGGAGACGAUCCCUCGCUGGUCUGAGAGGAUGACCAGCCACACUGGAACUGAGACACGGUCCAGACUCCUACGGUGGGCAGCAGUGGGGAAUAUUGCACAAUGGGCUCAAGCCUGAUGCAGCCAGGCCGCGUGUGUGAAGAAGGCCUUCGGGUUGUAAAGUACUUUCAGCGGGGAGGCGUUACUCGCAGAAGAAGCACCGGCUAACUCCGUGCCAGCAGCCGCGGUAAUAC